AUAAAUAUAAAUAUAAAAACUCAUUAAAACUUAUGAAAGAUUGAUAGGGAAUUUAUAUUUUUGUCGGAGAGGUUUAUAUAAUGUACUAACCAUGAAUGCAUAAAAUAAUAAAAAUUUCAAGUAAUAUACAUGAGUUGAGAAUCCACUAGGUUUGAUCUAUAGUGGUAAAAGAUUUGAACAGUAUGCAUAUAAAGUUCUAAGUUUGAUUCUUACGGAUCACUCCAUUGUAAACGAAAAACUAUAUAUAGAUUAGUUGACUUAAAAGCAGGGACGUAAAAUUGUACGAAAGUUAUUUGAGGAUUAAAAUUUACUGAAAUUUUUUGUUGGAACUAAGAAAACAUUUGACGUAUUUAUAGGGAUAAAAUAUUUAUUUAACCCUAUAAAUUAAUAUAAAAACAUGAUAUUAAAUUUUGUAUAGAAAUNNN
rnacentral:lncRNA from 1 species